rnacentral:rRNA from 1 species
AGGAUAAACGCUGGCGGCGGUGCCUAACGACGAUGCAAGUCGAACGUCUCUUCUUUCGGGAAGAGGAGUGGCGGACGGGUGAGGAACACGUGGGAACCUGCCCUUUAGUGAGGAAUACCGGCGAGAAAUCGCCGACAAGACCGCAUAGCCUCGGUGCAAGCCGAGGAAAGCUUUCUCGAGAGAGGGAGCGCCACACGAGGAGCCUGCGCCCGAUUAGCUAGCUGGUGGAGUAACGGUUCACCAGGGCGACGAUCGGUAGCUGGUCUGAGAGGACGAUCAGCCACACUGGGAUUGAGAACGGCCCAGACUCCUACGGGGGGCAGCAGUGAGGAAUUUUCGUCAAUGGGGCAACCCUGAACGAGCAACGCCGCGUGCAGGAAGAAGGUUUUCGGAUCGUAAACUGCUUUUCGUCGGGGAAGAGAACGGACGGUACCCGAGGAAUCAGCCCCGGCUAACUACGUGCCAGCAGCCGC